rnacentral:rRNA from 1 species
GGCUACUGCUAUUGGGAUUCGACUAAGCCAUGCGAGUCAAGGUGUCUUCGGACGCCGGCGUACGGCUCAGUAACACGUAGGUAACCUACCCUCAGGACUGAGAUAACCCCGGGAAACUGGGGCUAAUAUUAGAUAGAUAAAAGGUACUGGAAUGUUCUUUUAUCCAAAGCUUUUGCGCCUGAGGAUGGGCCUGCGUCCGAUUAGGUUGUUGGUGGGGUAAUGGCCCACCAAGCCUGCGAUCGGUACGGGCAGUGAGAGCUGAAGCCCGGAGUUGGGGACUGAGACAAGGCCCCAGGCCCUACGGGGCGCAGCAGGCGCGAAACCUCUGCAAUGCGGGAAACCGUGACAGGGGGAUCCCAAGUGCUCAUGCAUUGCAUGGGCUGUUCUUUGGUCUAAGUAACCAGAGGAGUAAGGGCUGGGCAAGACCGGUGCC